GGGGAUUUAGCUCAGCGGCUUAAGCGCCUGCCUUGCAAGCAGGCAGUCGUGAGUCAAUCCCUG
rfam:Cavia porcellus supercont2_10 genomic scaffold, whole genome shotgun sequence.